rnacentral:rRNA from 1 species
CCUACGGGAGGCAGCAGUGGGGAAUAUUGCACAAUGGGGGGAACCCUGAUGCAGCGACGCCGCGUGGGUGAGGAAGUACUUCGGUAUGUAAAGCCCUAUCAGCAGGGAAGAAAAUGACGGUACCUGACUAAGAAGCCCCGGCUAACUACGUGCCAGCAGCCGCGGUAAUACGUAGGGGGCAAGCGUUAUCCGGAUUUACUGGGUGUAAAGGGAGCGUAGACGGCGUGCCAAGUCUGAUGUGAAAGACCGGGGCUCAACCCCGGGACUGCAUUGGAAACUGGCAUGCUGGAGUGCCGGAGGGGCAAGCGGAAUUCCUGGUGUAGCGGUGAAAUGCGUAGAUAUAUGGAGGAACACCAGUGGCGAAGGUGGCUCUCUGGUCUGCAACUGACGCUGAGGCUCGAAAGCAUGGGUAGCGAACAGGAUUAGAUACCCUAGUAGUC